AUGAACUACUUUCCAAUAAGGGACUGUAGAACUUAUUGGAGACUUCAUAUCUCUCAGUCCGGUGUUCCGAGGCCAUAUCUGCAUAUGCUAGGCUCGUCAAGUUUAACCCGAAGCUUAUCACACCCAAUCAUCACGUGGUGUCUCGGCACGCUGAACUUUGACAACGGGCAUAUUUCAUUCAGGUGCCACUACACUUCUGCUUCCAUUGACAAUGUCAUAUUCAAUCUCAGUGACGAUGUCUUGAUCAAGUUGGUCAGAGGACGAAUGAAGUAA
rnacentral:rRNA from 1 species